AUACGGAGGAUCCGAGCGUUAUCCGGAUUUAUUAGGGUUAAAGGGUGCGCAGGCGGAACUGUAAGUCACCGGUGAAAUCCUACAGCUUAACUGUAGAACUGCCGGUGAUACUGCGAUUCUCGAGUAUAGUUGCGGUAGGCGGAAUGUGUAGUGUAGCGGUGAAAUGCAUAGAUAUUACACAGAACACCGAUUGCGAAGGCAGCUUACUAAACUAUUACUGACGCUCAUGCACGAAAGCGUGGGGAGCGAACAGGAUUAGAAACCCCAGUAGUCC
rnacentral:rRNA from 1 species